GCCAGCCGCCGCGGUAAUACGUAGGUGGCAAGCGUUGUCCGGAAUUAUUGGGCGUAAAGGGCUCGCAGGCGGUUCCUUAAGUCUGAUGUGAAAGCCCCCGGCUCAACCGGGGAGGGUCAUUGGAAACUGGGGAACUUGAGUGCAGAAGAGGAGAGUGGAAUCCCACGUGUAGCGGUGAAAUGCGUAGAGAUGUGGAGGAACACCAGUGGCGAAGGCGACUCUCUGGUCUGUAACUGACGCUGAGGAGCGAAAGCGUGGGGAGCGAACAG
rnacentral:rRNA from 1 species